rnacentral:rRNA from 1 species
UACGUAGGGGGCAAGCGUUGUCCGGAUUUACUGGGCGUAAAGAGCGUGUAGGCGGCCAAGCAGGUCCGUUGUGAAAACUGGAGGCUCAACCUCCAGACGUCGACGGAAACCGCGUGGCUAGAGUCCGGAAGAGGAGAGUGGAAUUCCUGGUGUAGCGGUGAAAUGCGCAGAUAUCAGGAGGAACACCGGUGGCGAAGCGGCGACC